GUAGGUGGCAAGCGUUAUCCGGAAUUAUUGGGCGUAAAGCGCGCGCAGGCGGUUUCUUAAGUCUGAUGUGAAAGCCCACGGCUCAACCGUGGAGGGUCAUUGGAAACUGGGGAACUUGAGUGCAGAAGAGAAAAGCGGAAUUCCACGUGUAGCGGUGAAAUGCGUAGAGAUGUGGAGGAACACCAGUGGCGAAGGCGGCUUUUUUAGGUCUGUAACUGACGCUGAGGCGCGAAAGCGUGGGGAGCAAACAGGGAUUAGAUACCUGGUAGUCCACGCGUAAACGAUGAGUGCUAAGUGUUAGAGGGUUUCCGCCCUUUAGUGCUGCAGCUAACGCAUUAAGCACUCGCCUGGGGAGUACGGUCGCAAGACUG
rnacentral:rRNA from 1 species